UAGUGAGGUUCCCUCUUCCCUUUAAAGCGCUUUGGGUGCCUUGAAAAACGCUCUAUAAAUGCAAUUUGUUGUUGUUGUUGUUGUUGUUGAUGAAGGUGAUAGUAGUUAACUUAGCAUAGAAUUAUUGUAUAGUCUUGUAGUCUAGUCUAGUAAGUCUAACACUAGAUUUGACAAAAGACCCCUCUACACUACCAAGGGUAGUUACGGUAACUAUAACGUCAUGAGCAUCCACUCUGACAAAUAAAAGAUAAGCCUCUCCAAAAUAUUCACAUUCAUGUUCAUUAAUGUGAUGCCUAAGAUCGUGGUGAUGUUGGUGCCUAAAAUAUGAUGGAUUACUGUCUAUGAGCAAGACCACUAUUUAAAAUUGUAGUUUCUAGUUAUCAUUAUUUUUAGCAGCAUGUUGGCAGUGUGGAUAUGUAUUAAUGACUUUGAGUGCUUAACUAUUAUCAUUGUCAUAUUUUGUUUCAUGCGGUUUAAAUGGAAGGGACACUAAUGGUUUUCCUAUACCUUCUCAUUUGCCCAAAAAGAAAAAAACAUAUUGUAUUGUUGAUACAAUCUUUCCUUGUACAUGACUUUGUGAAGUAUUAUACAUGUAGCAUUACAAUUUGAUUAGGGAUUAUCAGAAAUGACAAAACUGUACCAGUUUUGUGAGUGUGUAAAUGGCUGUAGCCAACACUAGGUUGUGGCAGGUGAGUUGGCUAAGUGAAUUGGAUGAUGUUGAGGUUAUCAGUGUCAUUAAAUACCUUGUUUGCUAAAUGUGUUUUGCAUGGCAAUUUAGUGAAAACAUUUGGGUCUGGGUCUGAAGGAAACUGAGAAUAUCUUCCACGAAGUGAACAUUUCAAUUCCAUGUCAUUAGGUCAACAUUUCCUCUCAGAUUGACUGGUUUAUAUGGGCUGUUAGUGAUGCUAUUUGUUGAUAUUUGAACCAAACACCAAACAAAACACACCAGACAGCAAGCUCACCGCUCCUUUCAGGGGGUGCAGGUUUAGGGUACAGCUCUUCGUUGAUGUCCAGUGUGGGGAAAUUUCCAGUUAUUAGACUACACUUUAGCUGUUAAAUGUCUACUCGGGUUGUUGUUGUCCAACAUUACAAAGAUGGUCAUUACAAGGAGUUAUUUUGCGUUUUCUCUUGUCCAUGACCUCUGAAGUCAACCGCCUUAGGGAGUCUGGAGUAAUAACAGCCUUCUUAUAAUUAACUUUAUUUAUCACGACAGCUCUUUUUUACUUUCAUGUUAUGUAAUCCAUCAAGAAUACCCUGUUUAGUCCUAUAAAUAACGAUAAGACUUGUUGCUCUUAUGCUCGUCUAGGAUGCUUGUGUGUUUGUAACCUAUCUCCGGCAUUGUGAAUAAAGCUUUGUUCUCUGCCGUAUGGUCA